GACGUAGGGCGCGAGCGUUGUCCGGAUUUAUUGGGCGUAAAGAGCUCGUAGGCGGCUUGUCGCGUCGUCCGUGAAAACCUGCGGCUCAACUGCAGGCUGGCGGUCGAUACGGGCAGGCUGGAGUUCGGUAGGGGAGACUGGAAUUCCUGGUGUGAGCGGUGAAAUGCGCAGAUAUCAGGAGGAACACCGGUGGCGAAGGCGGCAUCCUGGACCAAUACUGACGCUGAGGAGCGAAAGCUAGGGGAGCAAACGGG
rnacentral:rRNA from 1 species